GGGAUGGGCCCGCGGCCCAUUAGCUUGUUGGUGGGGUAAUGGCCUACCAAGGCUUCGAUGGGUAGCUGGUCUGAGAGGACGAUCAGCCACACUGGGACUGAGACACGGCCCAGACUCCUACGGGAGGCAGCAGUGGGGAAUCUUGCGCAAUGCGCGAAAGCGUGACGCAGCAACGCCGCGUGAGGGGAGACGGCCUUCGGGUUGUAAACCUCUCUCAGUAGGGACGAAGCGCAAGUGACGGUACCUAUAGAAGAAGCACCGGCCAACUACGUGCCAGCAGCCGCGGUAAUACGUAGGGUGCGAGCGUUGUCCGGAAUUACUGGGCGUAAAGAGCUCGUAGGCGGUUUGUCGCGUCGUCCGUGAAAACUUGGGGCUCAACCCCAAGCUUGCGGGCGAUACGGGCAGACUUGAGUACUGCAGGGGAGACUGGAAUUCCUGGUGUAGCGGUGAAAUGCGCAGAUAUCAGGAGGAACACCGGUGGCGAAGGCGGGUCUCUGGGCAGUAACUGACGCUGAGGAGCGAAAGCGUGGGUAGCGAACAGGAUUAGAUACCCUGGUAGUCCACGCCGUAAACGGUGGGCGCUAGGUGUGGGUUUCCUUCCACGGGAUCCGUGCCGUAGCUAACGCAUUAAGCGCCCCGCCUGGGGAGUACGGCCGCAAGGCUAAAACUCAAAUGAAUUGACGG
rnacentral:rRNA from 1 species